rnacentral:tRNA from 1 species
GCCGGAGUGGCGGAAUGGCAGACGCGCUGGAUUCAAAAUCCAGUGGCCGCAAGGUCGUGAGGGUUCGACUCCCUCCUCCGGCACCA